ACUUUACAAUGCGAGAAAUCGUGAUAAGGGAACCCCGAGUGCCCGUAUGGACGGGCUGUUCAGGUGCUUAAAAACCACCUGGAGAAAGGGCCGGGCAAGACCGGUGCCAGCCGCCGCGGUAAUACCGGCGGCUCGAGUGGUGGCCACUAUUACUGGGCUUAAAGCGUCCGUAGCUUGGUCGUUAAGCCUCUGGGGAAAUCUUCCGGCUCAACCGGAAGGCGUCUCAGGGGAACUGGCGGCCUAGGGAUCGGGAGAGGUGAGAGGUACUCUGGGGGUAGGAGUGAAAUCCUGUAAUCCUCAGGGGACCACCUGUGGCGAAGGCGUCUCACCAGAACGACUCCGACAGUGAGGGACGAAAGCUGGGGGAGCAAACCGG
rnacentral:rRNA from 1 species